GCUCCUACGGCGCCCUGGUCGCCUUCUGCGUGGCCUUCGGCCUCUCUUAUGGCAUGGUGGGUGCGCUGCAGUUCGAGGUGCUCAUGGCGGCGGUGGGUGCGCCCCAUUUCCCCAGUGCGCUGGGCCUGGUGCUGCUCAUGGAGGCCGUGGCUGUGCUCAUCGGACCGCCCUCUGCCGGCCACCUGGUGGAUGCACUGAAGAACUAUGAGAUCAUCUUCUACCUGGCUGGCUCAGAGGUGGCCCUGGCUGGGGUCUUCAUGGCCACUGCCACCUACUGUUGCCUGCGUCGCAGAUCUCGCUCUCCGGAGGCUUCUGCUGGUGCAGCCAGUGACACUGAAGACAUUGAGGCCGAGGGGAACUCUGAGCUGCUGCCCCCUGGCACUGAGGAACCGGGUCUGCAGGCCCUGGAAAUGCUGAGCCCUCGGGCCAGGUCCGUGGAACCAGAGGUGGAGCCAGAACCAGGCCUAGACUAGGAGUCUGUGUAGUGUAUUGCAAGGGGGUGGCCCAGGGGCUCUGGAAGGUGACUUCCUCUUCCCAAAGGGCUUGGCACACUAGGGAGGAGGGUCAUUCUCUGGGCAAGUCCGGGCUGCAGUCACCUCUUGGGCAUUGUGGGAACCACCCUUUCCAUUCACCAGGCCCUCCCCGCUUGCUGGUGAAAUAGCUGUGGUCCCACAGGAAAUCGAGUCAAUAAAGCUCGGCAGAAUGACAAGCUCUGUUCCUG
rnacentral:lncRNA from 1 species